rfam:Myotis lucifugus cont2.46887, whole genome shotgun sequence.
GGUGGUUCUCGGGUGACACAUUCUGGAAUCGGGCUCCCUCCUCUCUGAUUCCAGGUGUGUCACCCAAGAUCCGCA